rnacentral:rRNA from 1 species
CCUACGGGAGGCAGCAGUGGGGAAUUUUCCGCAAUGGGCGAAAGCCUGACGGAGCAACGCCGCGUGAGGGAUGAAGGCCUCUGGGCUGUAAACCUCUUUUCUCAAGGAAGAAGAUCUGACGGUACUUGAGGAAUAAGCCACGGCUAAUUCCGUGCCAGCAGCCGCGGUAAUACGGGAGUGGCAAGCGUUAUCCGGAAUUAUUGGGCGUAAAGCGUCCGCAGGCGGCCCUUCAAGUCUGCUGUUAAAACGUGGAGCUUAACUCCAUCAUGGCAGUGGAAACUGUUGGGCUUGAGUGUGGUAGGGGCAGAGGGAAUUCCCGGUGUAGCGGUGAAAUGCGUAGAUAUCGGGAAGAACACCAGUGGCGAAGGCGCUCUGCUGGGCCAUAACUGACGCUCAUGGACGAAAGCCAGGGGAGCGAAAGGGAUUAGAUACCCCUGUAGCCCUGGCCGUAAACGAUGAACACUAGGUGUCGGGGGAAUCGACCCCCUCGGUGUCGUAGCCAACGCGUUAAGUGUUCCGCCUGGGGAGUACGCACGCAAGUGUGAAACUCAAAGGAAUUGACGGA